ACUUUAGCUUAUUUUUAUUUUCAGCCAUCACUAUUAUUCAAAGCUUCAAAAUCCAAUUCAAAGGAUGUAACAUCCAAAAUGGCCGUUGCGUUUGUAGCAAAGUCUCUGAUAACAUCAACCCAUUUACGUAUAGCAAUCGUGCUAAAUGUGAACGGGAUUUAAAAGGUGAAGACUGGUUGUGUCCAAAAGGAAGAUGUAAACAUGGUGGAAGAUGUUGUCAAAUAAAACGUCCAGGUGGAAGACGAACAUUUAAAUGUGAAUGCAUUGCUACUGGUUAUUAUGGGAAAAGAUGUGAAAGAAAAUGCCCAAAGAAGAAUAAGAAAACACGUAAAGCUUAUCCAAUGGCAUGCAUCUUUAAUCUGUAAAUUUGCCAAUGCAACUCAAGUCAGUGUCUCAACACACACACACACACACACACACACAUACAUAUGUAAGUGAUGAGGGUAAAAAUUAUUAUUAAAAAAUAACAAUUUAAACCAGUGGCUAGUAUGUGUAAAAAAAAAUUCCAAGAACUGCAAGUUAUAUUCAAAUAUAUGAAGAAAGCCACUAAGUGGGUUCCUUACAUGCUGAAAGUAGAUGCAUUUUUUGUGGUUAGAUGAUUUCAUGUCGACUUUCAGCAUGUAAGGAAAUCACUAGGUGACUUUCCUCUUAUAUUUGAAUAUAUAUAUAUAUAUAUAUAUAUAUAUGCACUUGUUUAUCUAUACAAUAUAUAAGUUUUGUAUGUUAUCUCCUGCUUAACACUUCAUAUUGUGUUAUAAAAUACAAAUGUUCUAUACACACACACACACAUGUGCACAUACAUUUUACGCUAAUAGAAUUUAUGAUGCAAGGCAAAAAUUAAUACAGCAUUGGACAUACAUAUUUUAUUAUAUUCCUUAUUGUUCUAGAUCUAAAUCCUAUCAACUAUCUCAAGUCCUUCGGAGCUUACCUGGAAUAUAUCUCUCCUCUGUGCCAAAAUUUGAAAUUGUUAAUAUCACUUAUGAAGACUAGUGGAGUUGCAGGAUCAAUAAAAUGACUGAUUGAAUGCCUUUGGUAUAUUGCUUUGGACAUGUAUGUUUUGAGCACAGAUAUUUUUGAGAUCAGCUUUGAUUCUUAAUAUUCCAGGAACACCAAACCAAGUGGCAGUCAUAUAUAGCUGUCAGUUUUUUUUAAAAUAAACCUACAUUUCUGACUA